UGGGGCAGAGCCAUCGCUCAACGGAUAAAAGCUACCCUGGGGAUAACAGGCUUAUCUCCCCCAAGAGGCCACAUCGACGGGGAGGUUUGGCACCUCGAUGUCGGCUCAUCACAGCCUGGGGCUGUAGUAGGUCCCAAGGGUUGGGCUGUUCGCCCAUUAAAGUGGUACGCGAGC
rnacentral:rRNA from 1 species